rfam:Lactobacillus plantarum WCFS1 complete genome
AAAUUACUAAGGUGUGCGCAUUGCUCUAAACAAAGUGUUGCCGAACAAUUAAUACUACUUUGGGAUGUCCGUUAGCUAAUUCCAUAACAUGCCUUAUCCUUUGGUAGUUAGCGAAUUAGUCAGAACGUCCCACCUGCCUUAAAGCGGGUCAAUACUGAAGGGCGAUUAACGGCACCACUAGUUUUUCC